UAAAAAAAUUGGUCCACAAAAAAUGAGAACCGUUGCUCUGAGGAAUAUCGGAAGGAACCGUUGCUCUGAGUUACGUGUCAAUUUCUGGUUGGGUUUUGAUAAAAUAUAAAACACAGAUUUUUUUCCUCUCUCGCCGGAUUAAUCUCACUAAUUUUCGUUGAUUUCAAUCGAUUCACCUUGAAGAGAUUGCUUGUUCCGGCUUAAGCAUGUCAGAUAGUGGUCUCUGAUAACGAUUUAUGUUCGUAUAUGGUUGCAAUCGUUAUAUUACUCGAUCCGACGAUUGGGAUUUGACGGCAAUCGAUCUCCGAGUGCGGCGGAUGGUGUAUGCUCCUCAAAGUUUCAAUUUCUGGUUGGGUUUCUCUUGAUUUUUGUGUAUGCUCCUCAAAGUUUGAUUUUUUUAGCAGAGAAAUUUGGAAUUGUGAUGUUUAUUGCAGAGAAAUUUCAAAUCAGUUAGAUGUUAAUAAGGCUAUGUAUGGUAUUUGCUUGUGAGUUUCUCUAUUCUUCUUUUUCCUAGAGGAUGUUACUGAAAUUGUUGGUCUCUCCGUAGUUAAACGAGGCCUUCCUUUCUCACUUCUCAGAAACAGAUUGUAUUUUGCGUAGUGGGAACAUUAUUUUCAAUCUUGCAUCAUAAUUCAUUUUGUUCUUUGAUGUUUUUUUCACUUGAUAUUGGUGUUCUUUGUAUUGUUUGUAGUCUCUAGAUGUGUUAAGAGAACCACAUUUGAUGCUAAGCUCCACUAGUUGAAUGAAGUAUUUGCUCAUAAUUACAUUAAAAAAUGUAGUUGGGUUGGGUGUCAAUGAUAUAGGUUUGGUUGUUUUCAAUUUCUGUAAUUUUUUUUUAGAUUGAGAGGUAUAAAGCAGAGAUUAAGAAGCUUCAGAAAUCAGAAGCAGAUAUCAAAGCCUUAUCACUUAAUUAUGCAGCUCUUUUAAGAGAUAAAGAGGUUACUUGGCUUCUCCGAAUCCUUUGAAGUAACGAAGCAAGGAAACAGCAGAAAUAAAAAAACAGAACAUUCUUGUGUUAGCUUGAGUUGGUUCAGGUCUCCGGAAACUGAAGAGAAGAGAAAGCCAAAGAUAUAGUGAAGACAUAUAUAAGUGCAAAGGAAAAAGCUGGCAAGUGAAGAAACGCAUAGACAUUGGCUGAUUACAAACGGAGAAUAUCGUAGGAGUAAUUACGAACUACAUCAGUUCUCUUUGGAAACUGCAUUGCCUGCAAUGAUCUCACAUUGAUCGAUACCUAUGUUUAAAUUUGUUUUUGUUUGGAUGAGACACACACAACAACAUCCCCAAGUGUAAAUAUCAGAGAUUUUCAUACUCUAUUGUUUCAAGAAUAGAUUGGCAUACUCCUUUUA